GCUAUUAUAAAUUAAUAGUGGGACCUGGUCAGUGGUUUAGAAUAACAUAAAAGUAAUAUAAACUUAAAGCACGCCUUAGCGUGAGGGUGGUAAUGUAGCGCAAUCAGUUGUCAUUUAAUAGGUGACUAGUAUGAAUGGUGACACGAUUUUGAUAUUGUCUCAAUUAUAAAACUCUUGAAAUUAAAAUGUAAAUGAACAUUUUUACUAUGAUCUUUAAGACGAUAAGACCCUAUGAACCUUUACUAUUUAAGAAAUAAAUUCUUUAGGAUAGUUUGAUUGGGGUGAUCUUUUUUUAAUUAAAAACAAAAAAAAAAUAAAAUGAUGAUGUUUAUCUUGUCUUUUUUCUUUUUCAGAAUUUUAAAAUUUAAUUCAGAAAAUUUUUAAUAUAUGACCAUUUAAUUUAUUAAACAAUUGACAAAAGGUACUCUAGGGAUAACAGGGCUAAAUUAAUUACUAGAUGAUAUAGGAAUUAGGAUUUGCCACCUCGAUGUUGAAUUAAAAUUACCUUUCUGUGCAGAGGCAGAAAAGGUUGGACUGUUCUUCCAUUAAAAUUUU
rnacentral:rRNA from 1 species